GAUGAACGCUAGCUACAGGCUUCACACAUGCAAGUCGCGGGUCCGGCGCACGGGUGAGUAACGCGUAUCCAACCUCCCCUUCACCACGGGAUAACCCGGCGAAAGUCGGACUAAUACCGUACGGUGAAUGAUGGGGGUGCGUCCGAUUAGCUUGACGGCGGGGUAACGGCCCACCGUGGCUACGACCGGUAGGGGUUCUGAGAGGGAUGGCCCCCACACUGGAACUGAGACACGGUACAGACUCCUACGGGAGGCAGCAGUGAGGAAUAUUGGUCAAUGGGCGUAAGCCUGAACCAGCCAAGUAGCGUGCAGGACGACGGCCUAUGGGUUGUAAACUGCUUUUAUGCGGGGAUAGGUACCGCAUGAAUAAGGACCGGCUAAUUCCGUGCCAGCAGCCGCGGUAAUAC
rnacentral:rRNA from 1 species